rnacentral:rRNA from 1 species
UCGGAUUGCAGCCUGCAACUCGGCUGCAUGAAGCUGGAAUCGCUAGUAAUCGCGGAUCAGAAUGCCGCGGUGAAUACGUUCCCGGGUCUUGUACACACCGCCCGUCACACCAUGGGAGUCGGGAAUGCCCGAAGUCAGUGACCCAACCGGAAAGGGGGGANCUGCCGAAGGCAGGCCUGGUAACUGGGGUGAAGUCGUAACAAGGUACC